rnacentral:lncRNA from 1 species
GCAAAAUUUUAUAAUUAAAAUAAGAUUUGAUAUUGUUUUAUAAUAAAAUAAUUAGCAAUAUACUUAGAAAAAGUCUUUUCUCCUAUAACAUGAUCUAGAUUAAAUAUUCAGGAGUAUUUCAGAUCUGAAACCUGGGGUUGAACUUGUAAAAACAUUUUAAAAGGAAGACUGGUGUAAAAAUUCAUCAUAAGUCUAUGAUACAAAAUUUACAAAACUUUCCACAGUGCUUUCUUGAAUUAUGAAAUAUUGAGUGUUUUCUAUUCAGACAGAAAAGUUCAGAUGUAUGAGGAAUGGAGUGGUUUAAAUUCAGCUUGCAAGUUGGAAAUCCCAGCUAAUGGGACAGAAUAUACAAGUUUUUCAGUGCAAAGGUACAUAUUAAGCUUAGGGAUUUUUGCAUUUUUACAUCAAUUUCUAUUUUCAUUCUUACUGUACUUGGCAUGCGCAAUAAAGCAGCAUAUGUGAAAAUACACAGUGCAAGGACUUUAUUAUAAAGGUUGGAUGUAGUUUUCUUUAGAAAUUUAGGUAAGAGAUUUGGCCUUUUUUAUUGGACACAUGGGGCCAGAAAGGCAGGGUAGAUUCUAAAGCACUGGUUUUGUUGAAGUUAAGUUUAUUAAGGCUGGGAACAUUAAAAGCUAAUUUAUAAAAGCAAUACUUUUUAAUAUGAAAAAUUUAACGCAAAGUUUGUUUAUACUUUUGCUUAAAAGGAAAUGUGAUGGGAUUGUGUGGCAAAUCAUUAAAAAUUAAAAGCCAGGUCCUUGAGGAUCGAUGUGACAGGAAGUGAGGAGGGUCAGUGUCUAGAGCCUUUUGUUACAAUGGUCCAAGCAGCAGCAGGGCUGUGUGGGAGAACCAUGCAGACACUCGGGAAGCUGGUGUCCAAGUCCUCCCCGCCCUGUAGUCUUCACCGCAGGCCUCACCGGCUUCCCUGGGAGAGGGACAGCUGGGGCCUCGCAGGCUUUCUGCUUCCAUAGACUGCUGUGGGUAGACGCAGAGCGCCAGGACAGCUCUGCCCUCUCCUUGAAAUGGUUAAUCGAGUCAGUUGCUAAGGGCUCUGACACUAAGACGCUAUGCUCUGAAAUGCUGGGGGAAACUUGGUACAUGCCUAAGAGGCGUGGAUUGUGAAAGAAAAAUAACAUAGUUUAAUCAGCGAUUCUUUUUAAGCUAUUCAAAUAUCAUGAACAAGAUACUAAAUUGUAUCUAAGGAUUUGUAUUACAUUAAAUCUUGUUCUAAAUCUUAUCUGUUUAAUAAAUGACUAGUUGAUAUUUGUGCAUGUUAUUUAAUAAAGAGUUAUAUUUUUAUAGAAAAAAAUAA